GAUGAAGAACGUAGCGAAAUGCGAUAAGUAAUGUGAAUUGCAGAAUUCAGUGAAUCAUCGAAUCUUUGAACGCACAUUGCGCCCCCUGGUAGUCCGGGGGGCAUGCCUGUUCGAGCGUCAUUUCACCACUCAAGCCUCGCUUGGUAUUGGGCAUCGCGGUCCGCCGCGCGCCUCAAAUCGACCGGCUGGGUCUUCUGUCCCCUAAGCGUUGUGGAAACUAUUCGCUAAAGGGUGUUCGGGAGGCUACGCCGUAAAACAACCCCAUUUCUAAGGUUGACCUCGGAUCAGGUAGGGAUACCCGCUGAACUUAAGCAUAUCAAUAAGCGGAGGA
rnacentral:misc_RNA from 1 species